UACACUCCUACGGGAGGCAGCAGUAGGGAAUCUUCCACAAUGGGUGCAAACCUGAUGGAGCAAUGCCGCGUGAGUGAAGAAGGUCUUCGGAUCGUAAAGCUCUGUUGUUAGAGAAGAACACGUGCUAGGUAACUACUAGCGCCUUGACGGUAUCUAACCAGAAAGUCACGGCUAACUACGUGCCAGCAGCCGCGGUAAUACGUAGGUGACAAGCGUUGUCCGGAUUUAUUGGGCGUAAAGGGAGCGCAGGCGGUCUGUUUAGUCUAAUGUGAAAGCCCACGGCUUAACCGUGGAACGGCAUUGGAAACUGACAGACUUGAAUGUAGAAGAGGAAAAUGGAAUUCCAAGUGUAGCGGUGGAAUGCGUAGAUAUUUGGAGGAACACCAGUGGCGAAGGCGAUUUUCUGGUCUAACAUUGACGCUGAGGCUCGAAAGCGUGGGGAGCGAACAGGAUUAGAUACCCUGGUAGUCCC
rnacentral:rRNA from 1 species